AGCUAUCUAAUUACAUUGUUCAGAUAAAUGCAGAUCCAAUCAGUAAAAGAUAUUUCACCUAAUGGUAUCGCGAGGGUCAAGGAUGCGAGCACAAAAACUGCUUCAUGGUUAUGACUGUGUUUUACUUUGUCUUGUUGUCAGUACACGAUGCACACCAUGGAAAACAAUCUUCACGAUCGGUGUUUUGGAGCUGUGCAAUUUUUUCUUCCCUCGCUGUGCUACAUAGACCGCCGAUAAUCCUCCUGACACAUUUAUUUCACCUGCUUCUUUUGGAACGACCGAUAUCUAUCGAUGAGAGAAUUCGACAAGAUUGGACGACCACCGUGUAUAAGUCUUUCAAAAGUAAGCACGCAAAAAUGGGAGAGAUUUAAACCAGGAAAAUGGGUUCAGAUUUUCCGUUGCAUUUCACCUUAUCAAAGAUUCAAACCGUCAGCUUCCGAGCGAUCAUCUCUAGAUAUUGACCCAAAUCAAACCGAUCCAUUUUGAAACUUUUCCCGUUUUCACAGCGUUUAGACUUCUUCAAUAAAUGUCCUGUCUUUCGAUGUAUUCACGAAAACUUUGCUAGAAAUUAAGCCUCUUGUGUUCAGCUGUGUUGUGUUGAAGAGAUCAAAACCAGGAAAAAGGGGUUUAGAUUUUCCGUUGCAUUUUACGCAAGGUCGCGCUCAUCCCGGACUUUUUAGCGACUAUGGCAAAGUUGUUGAUGAGUGCGAGGGAAAGUAAGGACAAGCGUUCUAUACACGGCGUUCUUUACAGCAUAAAUGCUUGUUCAUUAAUUUGGUAAGACUGAGGUGUUAGUAAGAUCCUCGAUUGCACUUCACAAGGUGAUGCUUAGACUGACAGGCUGACAAGACGUUGGUGGAUAAAAAGAGACUACACACCAGAUAUUGAAAAUGGUAAUGAACUUCACAUAAAGUCACCCAUACUAAAAAAAAAAAAACAUAUUAUUUUGUGAUUUUGAGCUCUUUUAAUCGAUAGAAGAGAACAUGAUAGUCUCUUAAGAACGAUAGGAAGAAACGCAUUAUCAGAAAGGUUAAAAAGUGAAGGUGCGGAAAUGCUGAAAGCACCUGCAUGAUUUUCUCAUUUUUUCAUGAAAAUGAUUUAAAGUCGAGCGGAAUCUAUCAGCAUAAUAUGAAGAAGCUGGCCUCGUCCCUAGGUUUCUCGGCGGGCCUAUCACGUUCUGCAUGGCUAUGACGUCACUGGCCAUUUCUGUUCUGCCCCCAGCAUGAAGCGUCUGCCAUAUUGGAAAGUGUGAAUCUGGGCGCAAAGCAUCAUGGAGCUGACAGCAAGGGAGUAGCCUGGGGACAAGGCUAUCAAGAAGCGUCCUUGAUGUAACUAAUUGAUAAUUAAAGGCAACUAAUAAAUUCGAUGAUAAUUGA